GACGAACGCUGGCGGCGUGCUUAACACAUGCAAGUCGAACGGAAAGGCCCUGCUUUUGUUGGGUGCUCGAGUGGCGAACGGGUGAGUAACACGUGAGUAACCUGCCCUUGACUUUGGGAUAACUUCAGGAAACUGGGGCUAAUACCGGAUAGGAGCUCCUGCUGCAUGGUGGGGGUUGGAAAGUUUCGGCGGUUGUGGAUGGACUCGCGGCUUAUCAGCUUGUUGGUGGAGUAGUGGCUUACCAAGGCUUUGACGGAUAGCCGGCCUGAGAGGGUGACCGGCCACAUUGGGACUGAGAUACGGCCCAGACGCCUACGGGAGGCAGCAGUGGGGAAUAUUGCACAAUGGGCGGAAGCCUGAUGCAGCAACGCCGCGUGCGGGAUGACGGCCUUCGGGUUGUAAACCGCUUUCGCCUGUGACGAAGCGUGAGUGACGGUAAUGGGUAAAGAAGCACCGGCUAACUACGUG
rnacentral:rRNA from 1 species